CUGAUUUUUAAAAAUAAAUAUAUAAAAGGAUUGAGACUGGGCUAGCUUAAUAACAAGUGGCAGUCAAUAUAAUCAAGAGAAAUAAAUUUUUUUUGUCUUGUAAAUACCAUGCUCUGAAGAAUUUAAGAACCAAAAGGCCUCUCUCCAGAUUCAUAAUAUCAAUCGAAUGCCAUCCAUCAGGGAUGGAGCUAGGAUGUUUGUAUAAAACCUUGACAUCUUAAAUGUGCUCCACCAAAACAGAUGCAGGGCCUUUCUGCCAAGAAGUUAAACGUGGAGAGGUGAGCAAAGAACGGCAUUUCUUCUCCAAAGACCAAUUCUUGAAAUUCACCCUUGCAUCAGCCAUAGGACCUGGUGGCUUCACCCAGAUCUAAUAAAGAAGGUGGUUUCAUCUCUCCUCUUGCCAGCACUGUCACUCUGCGUACUGAGAGAG